GUCUAUGGCCAUACCACCCUGAAUGCACCCGAUCUCAUCUGAUCUCGGAAGCUAAGCAGGGUCGGGCCUGGUUAGUACUUGGAUGGGAGAAAUUAGAUAAUAGGUG
rnacentral:rRNA from 1 species